GGGCGAGUAGCUCAGCGGCUAGAGCAUCCGCCUUACACGCGGAGGGUCCAGGGUUCGAAUCCCUGCUUGCCCA
rnacentral:tRNA from 1 species